CGCGUGGGAAUAUGCCCUUUACUAAGGAAUAGCCACUGGAAACGGUGAGUAAUACCUUAUACGCCCUUCGGGGGAAAGAUUUAUCGGUAAAGGAUUAGCCCGCGUAAGAUUAGAUAGUUGGUGGGGUAACGGCCUACCAAGUCGACGAUCUUUAGCUGGUUUGAGAGGAUGAUCAGCAACACUGGGACUGAGACACGGCCCAGACUCCUACGGGAGGCAGCAGUGGGGAAUAUUGCACAAUGGGCGCAAGCCUGAUGCAGCCAUGCCGCGUGUGUGAAAAAAGCCCUCCGGUUGUAAAGC
rnacentral:rRNA from 1 species